rnacentral:lncRNA from 1 species
CUCGAUUAAAAGUGCACCUGUAUAGCAUCUAAAGAUCAGAGAUGCCAAAUAUUAACACCUUUGUUAAUUUGUAGGAAACUUAAACCUAGGUUUUAAGCAAUUCAACUCUAGGUGCUCAUAUAACUAUUAACUAUUGUUGUUACUCAUAAGUGCUUAGUGAGCCUGCUUCCUCUGCCCUAAAGUUCCCUAUGACCAUGGGAGGUGGGAAGGUGGGGCAUGGGAGGUUUAUCUGUGAUAAUACAUGUGUGCAUGUACAGAACUACCUUUUUGGUGUUUUUCAAAGAAUAAGGAAUCAAUUUUGCUCGAACCUAGCUCCCAAAACUCACUGUAGAAGAGAAAUAACUGUCUCAUGGAGAUUGCAUUGCAGUUUUCCAAGGAUGAAAGAUACUAACCACAGUUAAAUCUCAACUCCAUUAUGAAGUGAAUACCUUUUGCCACUCCUUUCAGAAGAAAAUGGAAGCAGUGAGAGGUUGAAAUGAUUUCUGGAUUCCAUAGACAAAAACCAAUCCUGAAACAGAAUCCAAGAUUUCUGGGUCACAUUAAUGAAUAGACCUGGUUUAUUCCCAGCUUCUCACUCUGGUGUGUCGUAAAGAUUUGCCUGUAAUGAGCUCUGAGCUACUUAUACUUAGUCAUCUCCCAUGAAAACAAGUAUUACAUACAGAUGGGCCACCCCUGCCCCUCAUCAGGCUUCACAAAGGAGCCAGUCUGUGUGGAUUUGUUUCCCUACACUUCCUAGAAACAGCUGCUCUAUGUGCUGAAGAAUAAGAAGCCAUCCAUUGGAAGUGCUGGCUCAUUUCUUGAACCCAUUUCAGAGUUCCUGUCUGAGCGAUCGCUUCAAGUAAAGAAGGCGCCCCAGAUAAAAAGGCAGGCAGUCCAGACACCACAGCAUGUGCAUGCCACACGCAUGCGCCCCCCCAACCCCUAUGAUGAGAAGACACACCCUCGAGUGAUGAACUUCUUUCUGUGCUGGAGCCCAUGGGGUCCUCUGAGUCCCACUUCCUGCCUUCCUCAGGUACCUGCUUCUGACUGCAGAAGGCUCUUCCGUCCCAGGAUUGUGGUUUCUCACCAGUUUCUCAACAGUUUCCUUUGUUAUAAAACUUGAGAGAAAACAUUCCUCUAGUAGAAAGAGACUGCCUUCAUCCACCCUUUGGAAUAACCAGCUCCAGCCUAGGUCCCAUUUCCUGCACUGGUGGAAGAAAAGUCUCUUCUUCGCUAAGUGGUUCCUUUGAUGACCUUAUAGAUUCAGGCAGCUUGGGAAGGGAAGUUUCUCUAAAAGCCACAGAGCGUCCAGCUCAUGGAACCCUCAGGAUCCCUGGCCCAUCUUAGGCCACAUGGAGUCAGCCUCGUGCCCCCAGCCCAUCUGUUCCUGUGCACUGCACUCCAGUGGGUCUCACCCUUGCAUCCAGGGUUCUCUCCCACAGGAUGAGCUUGUCAACAUUCUCUUUUUCUAACACACACACUUGUCAGCAGGUGCUGGUAUAAGCCAAGCUGAGCUCGUGGGAGGAUGGCAAGAGAAUAGGCCCAACAGUCUUUGUGGGAGACAGAGCCCACGUUUCUCCACAAACAGCUUCCGGGAAGAGUGGACGGGUCAGACUAGACCAAACCAGCCUCUUGAGAACACCACACUGCCCAGACCCACUUAGUGCCUCCGUGUAACCCGCUGGUUAGAGUCCACCUGCUAGGCAGCCAGAAGCGGCAAAAGCCCAGCCCCACUGUCCCAUUCUUGACCUGGUCCUCCAUGCUCACUGUGACAGCAGCACAGGCACCCCGACCGGGCCACAGCGAGCUGGUGGCCAUGUCCCUGGCUCUGCUAACUUGGCCUAUCUCAUUUCUUAACCUGUUUUUCAUGAUGUGGACCUCUUGAGAGUAUACUUGAAAAAAGUGAAUUAUCUAUGUGGAUAAAGGACUGGUACACUAUGUUGAAAACGUAACAAACCAACCAGAUGGGAAAGCAUCUGUGCUAUGGGACUUUUUUGUUUGCUUGUUUUGUUUAAUAGGCAUAUUUUAUUUAAAUAAAUCUUCC